CACACUGGUGUCGGAUCGGUACUCGGUAUCAGCCGAUACGCAAGCUCAGGUAUCCAAAUCUGUAUCGGGAAGCAAAAAAUGGCAUCUGACCAUCACUAAUUA